rnacentral:tRNA from 1 species
CGCUACGGACUUUCUACAUGUCAAUACCGGCAACAAUGAAAUUUUUAGUAAGAGGAAAAUCCGUCGACUUUAAAAAUCGUGAGGGUUCAAGUCCCUCUAUCCCCAAAAG